rnacentral:lncRNA from 1 species
CUCUCUCUAUAUAUAUAUAUAUAUAUAUAUAUCCUCUAUGCAGAUAUAUACUAUAGCAUGAAAAUUGAUACAGGCUGAGUUUUGCUCAAAAAGUGUUGGUAGAAAAUGGGAUUUUUUGUGUUAGUGUGGAUUUUUUUUUCCGGUGACUUAAACAGAGAUGGAGAGAAGGGGACACUCGAUGUAUAAUGAGCUGGUGGGGGUUUGUCGUCGCUAUUUGUUUAGAGUGAAAGUGGAGUGUGGAAAGGUUGGAUCUAGACCACAACUUGGGUUGAGAUCUCUGGGAUUUGUUUGUUUUUAUGUUACUGUUUUGUAUGGACUUGGUAGACAAAUUUCUUUUCUUUUAUUUUUGCUGUGUUUCUUUAAAUUUGUGGAUGGC